CCUCCGGAGUGCCUCCGUCGAUUCCACUGCCUCCAAUUAAUAUGGUUUCGAUUUUUUUGGGUGAUUGGUUUGUUUUGGGGUGCUCAUGAUUAGUUUGUUUUGAUUUUGUAGGUUCUAUGCCUCAGACACCCUCUACUCCGCGCCGCCUUCAAUCUCUAACUCUCUGAACGCAUGUUGUUCUUCCUCCAGAAGUGUCCAAACUACUUCCAAUUUUCCAAAGAAUCGGCUUCUUUCUUUCUGAGGUAGUUUUUUUUUAUUGGAUUUGUGUUGGCCUUUUGGAGAUAUGUAUUAGCCAUAUAAGGUCUCAAAGAUUAGGGAAUGAUUAUUGUUAAACUUCAAAGAGAUUGUAUCCAGUUCCUUUUGUAACUCGGUAUAUGUAUUUGACUGCUGCAUUAGUUUUUCAGGUCUAAUGUUUGAUUCGA